ACUCCUACGGGAGGCAGCAGUGGGGAAUAUUGGACAAUGGGCGCAAGCCUGAUCCAGCCAUGCCGCGUGAGUGAUGAAGGCCCUAGGGUUGUAAAGCUCUUUCACCGGUGAAGAUAAUGACGGUAACCGGAGAAGAAGCCCCGGCUAACUUCGUGCCAGCAGCCGCGGUAAUACGAAGGGGGCUAGCGUUGUUCGGAUUUACUGGGCGUAAAGCGCACGUAGGCGGGCUAUUAAGUCAGGGGUGAAAUCCCGGGGCUCAACCCCGGAACUGCCUUUGAUACUGGUAGUCUUGAGUUCGAGAGGGUGAGUGGAAUUCCGAGUGUAGAGGUGAAAUUCGUAGAUAUUCGGAGGAACACCAGUGGCGAAGGCGGCUCACUGGCUCGAUACUGACGCUGAGGUGCGAAAGCGUGGGGAGCAAACAGGAUUAGAAACCCGGGUAGUCCCAUG
rnacentral:rRNA from 1 species